AUGGACGUCGACGCGGCCGCACAGACGCACGCGCACGCACACCGCCACCGUAGCAAGCGUUCUUCCUUGGCAUCCGGCGACGUGUCCCCGACGGGCAUGCAGUACCGCGGGGUGCGGCGCCGUCCGUGGGGCCGGUUCGCGGCGGAAAUCCGGGACCCCGCGUCCAAAGCGCGCCGCUGGCUUGGCACGUACGACACCGCCGAGCAGGCCGCCUGCGCCUACGACGUCGCCGCGCGCUUCAUGCGUGGAGCCAAGGCGCGCACCAACUUCCCCGCACCCGUCGAUUCCUGGCCGGCGGGGUACUGGCCGUGGGGCCAGUCGACGGCGCAGGCGCAUCCGCCGGCGCAGCUCAACACCUUCAUCCUGCACAACCUCAUGAGCUCCUCCCCGCAUGGCUGCGUCCUCCUCCAUCACGCUGGCCACGGCCACUCCCACGUCAACCCCCCUCCGCCGCCCAUACCGACGCCACCGUCGCCUCGUCCCGCUGCUUCGUGCGCCGCUACGGUCACCAUGCCAGACACCGCCACGGCCUCGGCGUCGUCUGUUCCCGGAGCGGAAGACGACGACGACUGGGACUGGGCCGGCGUCCUGCAAGGGCGAGAUCCGCCGGAGACGGGGCUGCUGCAGGAUGUGGUGCACGGCUUCCACGCGAGCAGGCGGCCGCGCGACCACGUUCGCACUGCCGAACCUGACGCGUCGAUCUGGCUGCCGAACCAGGAGAGGCACGAGGCUUUCGGCGGCGUAUCCUCUUCUUGGGGCGCCGGCGACAACGGGUACGAGGAUGAGGGCGACUUCCCAAUGCUGCCGCAGGGGCUCCUCCAGGACGUAGUCCAGUACCCGCCUUUCAUGGAGGUCGUGGCAGCGCCGUCUGCCAUGGGCCGCAGCCGCAGGGCGUGA
rnacentral:rRNA from 1 species